rnacentral:misc_RNA from 1 species
UCCGGUUUGUCACCGGCAGUCUCCUUAGAGUGCCCACCAUUACGUGCUGGUAACUAAGGACAAGGGUUGCGCUCGUUACGGGACUUAACCCAACAUCUCACGACACGAGCUGACGACAGCCAUGCAGCACCUGUGUUCCGGUUCCCUUUCGGGCACCCCCAGCUCUCACCGGGCUUCCGGACAUGUCAAGGGUAGGUAAGGUUGUUCGCGUUGCAUCGAAUUAAUCCACAUCAUCCACCGCUUGUGCGGGUCCCCGUCAAUUCCUUUGAGUUUUAAUCUUGCGACCGUACUCCCCAGGCGGAUCACUUCACGCGUUAGCUUCGGUACUCAGAGAUCGCUCCCCGAACACCCAGUGAUCAUCGUUUAGGGCGUGGACUAC